rnacentral:ncRNA from 1 species
AUAAAGGCUAUGAAGAGAAAAAGUAAAAUGAUUUUGUUUUUCACCAGAGAGCUUCGGAAGCUGAAAAGAAGCAAAAACACUCAUUUGAACAAUGGUCUCUGAGCUUCGUACUGAACGUACUUUUUGUAUUAGUAGGACACGACGAGUAUUGGCACUCGUUAUCAAUGUCACAGUAUAAGAGUAGCAUGUAUUACUCCGUACUUGUUGAGACAAAUGGUGUGAGCCAUUUGUAAAUUAAGGUGGUACCGUGUGGAAAUUCAAACCUCGCCCUUAAC